rnacentral:rRNA from 1 species
CUUUAAGGUCUAACCUGCCCACUGAAUUAUUUAAAUGGCCGCAGUAUUUUGACUGUGCAAAGGUAGCAUAAUCAUUAGUUUUUUAAUUAAAAGCUUGUAUGAAAGGUUGGACGAGGUAAAAUCUGUCUCUAUAUAAUUUAUUAUAGAAUUUUAUUUUUAAGUCAAAAAGCUUAAAUAUUUAUAAAAGACGAGAAGACCCUAUAGAUCUUUAUAAUUUUUUUAUUAUAAUUAAUUAAGAUUAAUUAAGAUUAUAAUAAAAAAAUUAUUUUAUUGGGGUAAUAGAAAGAUUAAUAAAAUUCUUUUUUAUUUUAAACAUUAAUUUAUGGUUUUGUGAUCCAAUAAUAUUGAUUAUAAGAUUAAGUUACCUUAGGGAUAACAGCGUAAUUUUUUUAGAGAGUUCAUAUCGAUAAAAAAGUUUGCGACCUCGAUGUUGGAUUAAAGAUUAGUUUAGGUGUAGUAGUUUAAAUUUUUGGUCUGUUCGACCAUUAAAUCUUUACAUGAUCUGAGUUCAGACCGGCGUAAGCCAGGUCGGUUUCUAUCUUUAUAAUUUUAUAAUAUUUUAGUACGAAAGGACCAAAUAUUAAAUAUAUUGAUAUUUUUAAAUUUGAAUAUUAUUAAUUACUUUGGCAGAAAAGUGCAAUGAAUUUAGAAUUCAUAAAUGUAAAUUAUUUACAGGUAAUAUUGUUUUAUUUAGAUUUGAUUUUUUCAUUAGUUUGUAUAUUAUUAUUAAUUGUAUGUGUAUUAGUAGGAGUAGCUUUUUUAACUUUAUUAGAACGUAAAGUUUU